rnacentral:misc_RNA from 1 species
UUGAUGGCAGUGAAGCGUGAC